rnacentral:rRNA from 1 species
CCUACGGGUGGCUGCAGUGGGGAAUAUUGGACAAUGGGCGAAAGCCUGAUCCAGCCAUGCCGCGUGUGUGAAGAAGGCCUUCGGGUUGUAAAGCACUUUCAGUGGGGAAGAAAGCCUUGGGGCUAAUACCCUCGAGGAAGGACAUCACCCACAGAAGAAGCACCGGCUAACUCCGUGCCAGCAGCCACGGUAAUACGGAGGGUGCGAGCGUUAAUCGGAAUUACUGGGCGUAAAGCGCGCGUAGGCGGUCUGAUAAGCCGGUUGUGAAAGCCCCGGGCUCAACCUGGGAACGGCAUCCGGAACUGUCAGGCUAGAGUGCAGGAGAGGAAGGUAGAAUUCCCGGUGUAGCGGUGAAAUGCGUAGAGAUCGGGAGGAAUACCAGUGGCGAAGGCGGCCUUCUGGACUGACACUGACGCUGAGGUGCGAAAGCGUGGGUAGCAAACAGGAUUAGAUACCCUAGUAGU